ACCACUUACUCCUAGCCCAGCAACGCACCGACUGUCCCCGGCUGCCUGUGGGGUGGGUGCCAGUGAGCUGAGGAUUAUUUGGAGCCUAUCAGAGGCAUCCAGAUUUGCAUUCAGGAUGUCUGCUCACACCACAGGGUUUAAGAAGCAAGCGGAGAAGGCACCACUGAAUUCAGAGACCGCUCUGGCUGGGAUGUGCUGUUCCUAGGAUGGCUUGGGUCACCACUCUGCUCGUUCUGGUAGCCUGUUGGGCAGGCUCCAGCUGCCAGUUAACUUUGACUCAGCCACUCACUAUGUCAGUGACUCCAGGAGAAACUGCCCAACUCGCAUGUGUUCUGAGCAGUGGAUACAGCAUCAGCAAUGCCUACAUACGCUGGUACCAGCAGAAGCAAGGGGAGAAACCAAGAUACCUGCUGAAUUACAAGGAUGACUCUACCCAGCAUAAAGGCUCUGGUGUCCCUGACAGGUUCACUGCCUCUAAAGACCCUUCCAGGAACACCUGCUUUUUAACUAUCAGCAGGGCUGAAGGGGAGGACGAUGCUGAUUACUACUGCUCAGACUGGGAUGAGAGCACAUCUAACCAGUACACAGUGAUACAGCUGCAUAGAGAAGAGGAACAAAACCCUCCUCUCACCCAUAGUGACACAGUGCCUGGAGCCCAUCUGCGUGUCUCUUGUUCCUUUGAGAUGCCCCGGUCGAUUGGCUCCUGGCUAAAUGUGAUCUCCAAUUCCUGUCAGUCCUCAUUGCCUUACAAAGCUAUGGCCUUUACUGACACAACCUCACUGGCCUGAUGGAGAGACUGUGUUAAAGACAGUAAGGAAAUCAAACCAGGGCACGAGGGAUCACAGCC